rnacentral:rRNA from 1 species
UACGUAGGUGACCAGCGUUGUCCGGAUUUACUGGGCGUAAAGAGCGCGCAGGCGGUCGUUUAAGUCGAGUGUGAAAGCCCCCGGCUCAACUGGGGAGGGUCACUCGAUACUGAUCGACUGGAAGGCAGGAGAGGGAAGCGGAAUUCCCGGUGUAGUGGUGAAAUGCGUAGAUAUCGGGAGGAACACCAGUGGCGAAGGCGGCUUCCUGGCCUGUUCUUGACGCUGAGGCGCGAAAGCUAGGGGAGCAAACGGG